CAGUAGCCGCGGUAAUACGGAGGAUCCAAGCGUUAUCCGGAUUUAUUGGGUUUAAAGGGUGCGUAGGUGGCCUGUUAAGUCAGGGGUGAAAGACGGUAGCUCAACUAUCGCAGUGCCCUUGAUACUGAUGGGCUUGAAUGAACUAGAGGUAGGCGGAAUGUGACAAGUAGCGGUGAAAUGCAUAGAUAUGUCACAGAACACCAAUUGCGAAGGCAGCUUACUAUGGUUUGAUUGACACUGAGGCACGAAAGCGUGGGGAUCGAACAGGAUUAGAUACCCCUGUAGUCCCUGUCUCUUAUAC
rnacentral:rRNA from 1 species